rnacentral:rRNA from 1 species
GACGGGGCCCGCACAAGCGGCGGAGCAUGCGGAUUAAUUCGAUGCAACGCGAAGAACCUUACCAAGGCUUGACAUACACCGGUAACGCCCAGAGAUGGGUGCCCCUUUGUGGUCGGUGUACAGGUGGUGCAUGGUUGUCGUCAGCUCGUGUCGUGAGAUGUUGGGUUAAGUCCCGCAACGAGCGCAACCCUCGUCCUAUGUUGCCAGCGGGUCAUGCCGGGGACUCAUGGGAGACUGCCGGGGUCAACUCGGAGGAAGGUGGGGAUGACGUCAAAUCAUCAUGCCCCUUAUGUCUUGGGCUUCACGCACGCUACAAUGGCCGGUACAAAGGGCUGCGAUACCGCGAGGUGGAGCGAAUCCCAGAAAGCCGGUCUCAGUUCGGAUUGGGGUCUGCAACUCGACCCCAUGAAGUCGGAGUCGCUAGUAAUCGCAGAUCAGCAACGCUGCGGUGAAUACGUUCCCGGGCCUU